AAGGCUUUAAGUUAAACAAACUAAUAUCCUUCAAAGUUAUAAAUAAAGUAAACCCUCUUUAAGUCUUA
rnacentral:tRNA from 1 species